UACGUAGGGGUCGCUAAGCGUUGUCCGGAAUUAUUGGGCGUAAAGAGCUCGUAGGCGGUCUGUUGCGUCGGCUGUGAAAACCCGGGGCUCAACUCCGGGCCUGCAGCCGAUACGGGCAGACUAGAGUUCGGCAGGGGGAGACUGGAAUUCCUGGUGUAGCGGUGAAAUGCGCAGAUAUCAGGAGGAACACCGGUGGCGAAGGCGGGUCUCUGGGCCGAUACUGACGCUGAGGAGCGAAAGCGUGGGGAGCGAACAGG
rnacentral:rRNA from 1 species